GAUGAACGCUGGCGGCGUGCCUAAUACAUGCAAGUCGAACGCGAGAGGAGGGAGCUUGCUCCCUCUGAUCGAGUGGCGGACGGGUGAGUAACACGUAGGCAACCUGCCCAUCAGCCGGGGAUAACUGCGGGAAACCGUGGCUAAUACCGGAUAAUCCUCUCCACCGCGGGGUGGGGAGUUGAAAGACGGUUUCGGCGGUCGCUGAUGGAUGGGCCUGCGGCGCAUUAGCUGGUUGGUGGGGUAACGGCCCACCAAGGCAACGAUGCGUAGCUGACCUGAGAGGGUGAUCGGCCACACUGGGACUGAGACACGGCCCAGACUCCUACGGGAGGCAGCAGUAGGGAAUCUUCCGCAAUGGACGCAAGUCUGACGGAGCAACGCCGCGUGAGUGAAGAAGGGUUUCGGCUCGUAAAACUCUGUUGUUAAGGAAGAACGCCAGGUAGAGUAACUGCUACCUGUGUGACGGUACUUAACCAGAAAGCCACGGCUAACUACGUGCCAGCCGCCGCGGUAA
rnacentral:rRNA from 1 species